GACGAAGGUUGCAAGCGUUGCUCGGAUUUACUGGGCAUAAAGAGCGCGUAGGCGGCGUGGAAAGCGGGAAAUGAAAUCCCACGGCUCACCCGUGGAAUUGUUUCUCGAACUGCCAUGCUUGAGGACGGUAGGGGAAAGUGGAAUUCCUGGUGUAGCGGUGAAAUGCGUAGAUAUCAGGAGGAACACCGGUGGCGAAAGCGACUUUCUGGCCCGUUCCUGACGCUAAUGCGCGAGAGCUAGGGGAGCAAACAGG
rnacentral:rRNA from 1 species